AUUGAACAUUAUGGCUUUUCAAUAAACUCCCAGUCGUCGUCGUCGUUUGUUGUUGCCAUAGAAAGGAAUGUGUUUUAAUAAAUAUAGUACACACACAGUAACUUGGCUUGUUGCAAAAUGAAUGAAAACGAGUGAAAAUUGUGUAGUAAAUUGUUUGGUGUGCUGAUACGAAAAAUAAUAAUAAUAAUAUAGAAAUCCUUCGUCGGUUGGGCGCAAAGAAGGAGGAAAUUCGAUCGAUUUUUCUCAAAAAACUCAACAUUUGCUGCCUUUUUAAUUAAUUUCAUCAAAAGUUUCAUAGAAUUAGUUACUUAUCUGAUAAUGAGGGCCUCAAAUAUGAAGUCGACACGUGGCAGCCAACCUUUCUGCUCACUUUUACAAUCAACGUGUGACAGCAAAUUAUCAUUUGGAAUCAUUUUAUCAUCAGAUAGGGAUAAGUUUUUGGACAUUUUUCGUCGAAACGAAAGGUUUUGAGGCAGUCGACGUUCCCGGGGAAAAAUUAACAGACGGCGAGGCAUGGAAUUCACUCUGCACAGCGAAAAAUGGAAAUGUGUUUAACAAGAAAUCUUGUUUUACAACUCAAAAUUAUUUUUGGUUUAUGUUCAACAUGAUAAAAUAACAGCAACAACAACAACAAAUGUUAUUAUGCGAAAAACUUCGCGCAAAACUUUUACUGACAAAUAGACAUUUUUUGAACAUUUUAAUUAAAAAGUGCUUCGAAGACGUUGACUCACGUUAAAGUGCGAAAUGAAAACAAAAAAGUUAUGAAAAUAAUCAAAACGUUGUUUGCUUUUCUCACGCAGUACAAAAAUUAUCGAUAUAUGAUUAGAUGGGACUGUGACAAACCAAGUUACAAUAAUCCGAGCAAAGUAUUUAUUGCACAGAGCACCCUUUGUGUAAAUAUCAAAUAUAAUAAUAAUCUAAUGUCGCAUCGAGUUGAGCUGAAAAUAUUUGUUUAACAAUUGUGUGGGAUCAUAAAAUUUAUUU